UACGUAGGAUGCAAGCGUUGUCCGGAAUUACUGGGCGUAAAGCGUGCGCAGGCGGUGAUGUAAGACAGAUGUGAAAUCCCCGGGCUCAACCUGGGAACUGCAUUUGUGACUGCAUCGCUGGAGUGCGGCAGAGGGGGAUGGAAUUCCGCGUGUAGCAGUGAAAUGCGUAGAUAUGCGGAGGAACACCGAUGGCGAAGGCAAUCCCCUGGGCCUGCACUGACGCUCAUGCACGAAAGCGUGGGGAGCAAACAGG
rnacentral:rRNA from 1 species